CGGACGGGUGAGGAAUACAUCGGAAUCUACUCUGUCGUGGGGGAUAACGUAGGGAAACUUACGCUAAUACCGCAUACGUCCUACGGGAGAAAGCAGGGGACCUUCGGGCCUUGCGCUAUCAGAUGAGCCUAGGUCGGAUUAGCUAGUUGGUGAGGUAAUGGCUCACCAAGGCGACAUCCGUAACUGGUCUGAGAGGAUGAUCAGUCACACUGGAACUGAGACACGGUCCAGACUCCUACGGGAGGCAGCAGCA
rnacentral:rRNA from 1 species